rnacentral:rRNA from 1 species
AAACUGAAGAGUUUGAUCCUGGCUCAGAUUGAACGCUGGCGGCAUGCCUAACACAUGCAAGUCGAACGGAAACGAUGGAAGCUUGCUUCCAGGCGUCGAGUGGCGGACGGGUGAGUAAUACUUAGGAAUCUGCCCAUUAGUGGGGGACAACUCGGGGAAACUCGAGCUAAUACCGCAUACGCCCUACGGGGGAAAGCGGGGGAUCUUCGGACCUCGCGCUAAUGGAUGAGCCUAAGUCGGAUUAGCUUGUUGGUGAGGUAAAGGCUCACCAAGGCGACGAUCCGUAGCUGG